ensembl:snRNA U6 U6 spliceosomal RNA
GUGCUCACUUUGACAGCACAUAUACUAAAAUUGGAAGGAUAUGGAGAUAUGGACGUAUGGCUGCUGCACAACGUUGACACACUCAUGAACUGUUCCAUAUUUUU